CAUUGUGCUGUGAGUGAGAGGCUUGUACUUGUCUGUGUGAGAGGUAAACUUGUCACGGAAGAGGCGGGGUAAAAGUUGGCUUGCGCAUGCGUAGAUCCCAAACUGAGCGACAUUGCUUUAAUACAGAGCGUCCAGUAGGUGGCAGCGAAUUAUCGGCCAAUAACUAUGAGCUCCAGAGAAGAAUGCGAAACAUGGCUAAUGGCAACGUGAGUAAAGACAGAAUAGGUCAAGCAGCCGCAAUUUUAAAUAGUAUUUUAUCAUCACCGGAGGCAACAAGCAGUGUGACCUUCGCCUUAAACGAAAGAGCUUCUUUGACCCCCCGCAGUGAUUCGGUUGAGACAGAAUUAGCAUCUCUGUUUCGUGCUGGAGCAGCUAGCCGAAGUUCGGCGGUGUCAACAGUAAAUCAAGGACCAAGUUCGGUGGCUCCUGUAGCUCCACGUUUCCAAGCCCAGCAGUGUUUUGGACCUUGGACUACUAACAGGAGAAGAAGAUGCAUAGUUUCCUUUGUUGAUCAUCGGAUUUCUCUUCAGUUAAGUAUUCAAUUCAAUUCAGUUUUAUUUAUAUAGCGCCAAUUCACA